rnacentral:tRNA from 1 species
GGAAGAGUGGCAGAGUGGCCUAAUGCGGCUGUCUUGAAAACAGCAGUCCCUUCGCGGGGACCGUGGGUUCGAAUCCUACCUCUUCCG